rnacentral:rRNA from 1 species
UGCAGGGGGGGCAAGCGUUGUUCGGAAUUACUGGGCGUAAAGGGCUCGUAGGCGGCCAACUAAGUCCGACGUGAAAUCCCAAAGCUUAACUUUGGAACUGCGUCGGAUACUGGAUGGCUUGAAUUCGGGAGAGGGAUGCAGAAUUCCAGGUGUAGCGGUGAAAUGCGUAGAUAUCUGGAGGAAUACCGGUGGCGAAGGCGGCAUCCUGGACCGACAUUGACGCUGAUGAGCGAAAGCUAGGGGAGCAAACGGG